rnacentral:rRNA from 1 species
UACGGGGGGGGCAAGCGUUGUUCGGAAUUACUGGGCGUAAAGGGUUUGUAGGUGGCUUGCUAAGUCAGACGUGAAAUCCCUCAGCUUAACUGGGGAACUGCGUCUGAGACUGGCGAGCUUGAGGGCAGGAGAGGAACGCGGAAUUCCAGGUGUAGCGGUGAAAUGCGUAGAUAUCUGGAGGAACACCGGUGGCGAAGGCGGCGUUCUGGACUGCAUCUGACACUGAAAGACGAAAGCCAGGGGAGCAAACGGG